GUGCGCUACCACUGCCCGUCAGGAGAAGAUUUAUAAUUCAUCAGUUUCUGGGUAAGACUUCUGAUGGGAGGAAUCUAUGUCUGCAGACGAAUGUAUUUCAAACAUAUUUGCAAAUCAUUCUGAUUAAUACAAAACCGUUGUGCAUGGGGAGAUGCUCAGUGGGUGAAGUCUAUGCUGGGCAAGCAUGAGGACUAAAUUCAGAUCUCUGGUGUCCACAUAAAAACAGGUGUUGCAGUUGCAUCCCUAGACGACAGAGGUAGUAGUACCUUGGGUCUCCAUGCUCCAGUUUUAGUGAGAAACACUGUCUCAAAAAAAAAAAAAUGUUUUUUUUCUUUUGGAAAGUAAUAGAGGAAGAUAUUCCAUGUAGACCUCUGGCUUCUCUGGUCACAAAUAUGGGCACUUAAGCAAUCAUAUAUGCACAUAUCAUACACACACACAUACACACACACACACUCAUUAGCACACACCAAGACAAAACGUUUCACUUGAAGCCUUAAGACAUAUGGAUAUGCACAUUCAUGAAGCUGAAACAAAAGUUCCACUGCCUGGGAUUUAUUUUACCUUAACUUCAUCUGUACACCGUAAUUUUGUUUUUUGUUUGUUUGGUUUUUUUCUCUCAUUUAAAAAGAAUCCUGUAAAUAAUUAAAAAGAAAUGUUCUAAAGAGGCUGGAGACAUGACUCACUCAGGAGCACUCUGCUCUUGCAGAGUUCCUGGGUUUGGUUUUUAGUAACUAUUUGGCAGCUAACAACCAUCUGUAACACCAGUUCUAGGGGCUCUUCUGAUGCCCUCUUUUGGCCUCUGCAGGCACCAGGCACACACAUGGUACGUAGACAAACAUGCAGACAAAAUACCCCCAUACUAAACAAAUAAAAAUAAAUAGAAGGAAAUUUAAAAUAGUAAAAAGAAUCCUGGCCAAAGUCCACUGAACUAAUGCUAUUAUCUUCCAGUAGGUUACAAUCAAUGGCUUUCAGACACUGCAGGAGAGCAUCAUCUGUUUUAAUCUAAGAGUCAGUCGUGUGGUCAGAUUUGCAUUUUAACAUUCUUUGCCAAUGGCUGCUUUAACAGAAUUACCAGGAUUUGGAUGAUAUGGAAGAGGUCAGUGGGAAGAGUAGAGGGGGAUCAAGGAUAGCUCUGUGUUUAUUGUUUGAGAAUUUGGUUGGAUAGAAAGGAAUGAAAACAAGUAGGUGAUUGUUUGGGUCGUGCCAUGUAGGAGCUGUUUAGGUGGCUUCCCAUUACCUCUUCCAGCCUUCUUCUGUCAGAGCACCAGCACUAGAAAUUUGUACUAAAAGGGUUUUCAAAAGGCAACUCUCUUCUAGUAAAAGGAGAGAGAGAGUUUUAGAGAGAAUUCUGAAAUGAAAUGUAAUUUACAGACUGUUUUUCAUCUGUGGAAGAUAUUUUGUUAGUCAUGAAUACUUAAAUAAGCCCUGAUACUAAGAACAGCAGCAGACUGGAGGGGGCUGUGUGUACUAACUCAGUGGUAGGAUACACCAUAGCAUUAUAGCUCUACAACAAGGCAGUGACCAAAUACAGUGAUGUCCUUUUAUCAGAUUAGUAUAGUAUUCAGGCAAAAGGCAUUAUCAUGUGGUUUUCAUAUGAUAAAUGUUUUAGAAACCAAACACAGUGAUAACUGCAGAAGUUCCAAUAUUGGUUCCCUUUGGUAGGGAAAGGCAGGCUUAGAGGAGGAACCCCAGUUCACUGCAGACAUGCUGGUGACUUCACAGAUGUGAAGCCUUGUAAUUCAAACUGCAUUUAUUUCUAGAAGUAAAUAUGUAAAUUAUGGUUUGCCUUCUUAUUACUAAUUAUAAAUGUAAAUUUUUUAUCUUCAUGGGUU
rnacentral:lncRNA from 1 species